GGGCCUUUAGCUCAGCUGGUUAGAGCGCACGCUUGAUAAGCGUGAGGUCGAUGGUUCAAGCCCAUUAAGGCCCACCA
rnacentral:tRNA from 1 species